rnacentral:ncRNA from 1 species
UAACACCCAUUUUUAGUUUAUUAUUGGCAUAGAAAAGCAUUUACAAAAGGAACGCGGUGAAAAUCUGCGACAGUUUCUUUGCUACUGUAAGGAGAAUAUGGACGUAUUCAGUCAUUGGGAAAACCGAGAAGGCUGGGUGCAGGGAGUCCCUCCAAGUCAGGAUAUUUUUGUAAACGCAUCAUCUGUUUGA